UAACCUCUAACCCCCACCCCCUAACCCUAACCCGGCAGCUUUACUUCUGGGUUAGGGUUAGGGGGGUGGGGGUUGGAGGUUA